GCAAUUCGUUGCACUAUCGUUAACUGAAUACAUAGGUUAACGAGGCGAACCGGGGGAACUGAAACAUCUAAGUACCCCGAGGAAAAGAAAUCAACCGAGAUUCCCCCAGUAGCGGCGAGCGAACGGGGAGCAGCCCAGAGUCUGAAUCAGCUUGUGUGUUAGUGGAACGGUCUGGAAAGUCCGACGGUACAGGGUGAUAGUCCCGUACACCAAAAUGCACAGGCUGUGAACUCGAAGAGUAGGGCGGGACACGUGGUAUCCUGUCUGAAUAUGGGGGGACCAUCCUCCAAGGCUAAAUACUCCUGACUGACCGAUAGUGAACCAGUACCGUGAGGGAAAGGCGAAAAGAACCCCGGCGAGGGGAGUGAAAAAGAACCUGAAACCGUGUACGUACAAGCAGUGGGAGCACCUUCGGGUGUGACUGCGUACCUUUUGUAUAAUGGGUCAGCGACUUAUAUUCUGUAGCAAGGUUAACCGUAUAGGGGAGCCGCAGGGAAACCGAGUCUUAACUGGGCGUUAAGUUGCAGGGUAUAGACCCGAAACCCGGUGAUCUAGCCAUGGGCAGGUUGAAGGUUGGGUAACACUAACUGGAGGACCGAACCGACUAAUGUUGAAAAAUUAGCGGAUGACUUGUGGCUGGGGGUGAAAGGCCAAUCAAACCGGGAGAUAGCUGGUUCUCCCCGAAAGCUAUUUAGGUAGCGCCUCGUGAAUUCAUCUUCGGGGGUAGAGCACUGUUUCGGCUAGGGGGUCAUCCCGACUUACCAACCCGAUGCAAACUACGAAUACCGAAGAAUGUUAUCACGGGAGACACACGGCGGGUGCUAACGUCCGUCGUGAAGAGGGAAACAACCCAGACCGCCAGCUAAGGUCCCAAAGUCAUGGUUAAGUGGGAAACGAUGUGGGAAGGCACAGACAGCCAGGAUGUUGGCUUAGAAGCAGCCAUCAUUUAAAGAAAGCGUAAUAGCUCACUGGUCGAGUCGGCCUGCGCGGAAGAUGUAACGGGGCUAAACCAUGCACCGAAGCUGCGGCAGCGACACUAUGUGUUGUUGGGUAGGGGAGCGUUCUGUAAGCCUGCGAAGGUGACCUGUGAGGGUUGCUGGAGGUAUCAGAAGUGCGAAUGCUGACAUAAGUAACGAUAAAGCGGGUGAAAAGCCCGCUCGCCGGAAGACCAAGGGUUCCUGUCCAACGUU
rnacentral:rRNA from 1 species